CAGGAUUAGAUACCCUGGUAGUCCACGCCGUAAACGAUGUCUACUUGGAGGUUGUGCCCUAGAGGUGUGGCUUUCGGAGCUAACGCGUUAAGUAGACCGCCUGGGGAGUACGGUCGCAAGAUUAAAACUCAAAUGAAUUGACGGGGGCCCGCACAAGCGGUGGAGCAUGUGGUUUAAUUCGAUGCAACGCGAAGAACCUUACCUACUCUUGACAUCCAGAGAAUCUAGCGGAGACGCUGGAGUGCCUUCGGGAGCUCUGAGACAGGUGCUGCAUGGCUGUCGUCAGCUCGUGUUGUGAAAUGUUGGGUUAAGUCCCGCAACGAGCGCAACCCUUAUCCUUGUUUGCCAGCACG
rnacentral:rRNA from 1 species